CCAUGCCGCGUGUGUGAAGAAGGCCUUCGGGUUGUAAAGCACUUUUGUCCGGAAAGAAAAGCUUCGGGUUAAUACCCCGGGGUCCUGACGGUACCGGAAGAAUAAGCACCGGCUAACUUCGUGCCAGCAGCCGCGGUAAUACGAAGGGUGCAAGCGUUACUCGGAAUUACUGGGCGUAAAGCGUGCGUAGGUGGUUUGUUAAGUCUGAUGUGAAAGCCCUGGGCUCAACCUGGGAAUGGCAUUGGAUACUGGCGAGCUAGAGUGCGGUAGAGGGUAGUGGAAUUCCCGGUGUAGCAGUGAAAUGCGUAGAGAUCGGGAGGAACAUCUGUGGCGAAGGCGACUACCUGGACCAGCACUGACACUGAGGCACGAAAGCGUGGGGAGCAAACAGGAUUAGAUACCCUGGUAGUCCACGCCCUAAACGAUGCGAACUGGAUGUUGGGAGCAAUUAGGCUCUCAGUAUCGAAGCUAACGCGUUAAGUUCGCCGCCUGGGGAGUACGGUCGCAAGACUG
rnacentral:rRNA from 1 species